AUACGGAGGGUCCAAGCGUUAUCCGGAUUCAUUGGGUUUAAAGGGUCCGCAGGCGGGAAAAUAAGUCAGUGGUGAAAGCCUACAGCUCAACUGUAGAACUGCCAUUGAUACUGUUUUUCUUGAGUAUAGAUGAAGUGGGCGGAAUAUAUCAUGUAGGGGUGAAAUGCAUAGAUAUGAUAUAGAACACCGAUUGCGAAGGCAGCUCACUAAACUAUUACUGACGCUCAGGGACGAAAGCGUGGGGAGCGAACAGGAUUAGAAACCCUAGUAGUCC
rnacentral:rRNA from 1 species